rnacentral:lncRNA from 1 species
AGCAAGACCCUUGAGGUAAAAAGUGUAGAACAGUUUCGUCCGAUACACAAGCUGACGUAGCUUAACCUGUCCGUACGCACCUUCGAAGAUGCCGGUACCACCGGUGACGGCGAGGAACGUAUCUUCGUAAGUCAAGUACUGUCCUUCUACGGACAACUGGCCGCAGUGUCCGAAGUAAAAGCUGUAAUUGGCUUCGAACCUGUCGCCGUUCUUCUCCGGAACGUGUUGGAUCAAGACGUAGAGACCGGCGGUGAUUCCCACGCGCUUUUUGAGAUCACCGGUGUAGAGUUUGUUGGUGAAAGGUACGAGAUCGCCGAGACAGAGCUCUGGUUUCUUGCCGAGUUUUAGAACUGCUGGACUGUUUCGAUCUCUUUCGUUGAGUUCGUACACGUUGAGCUCUUGGGUCUUACCUGAAUAAUAACAAGACACAGGUUUGAACUUAAAAGGUCUGUCCUUUACACGAAAUUUGAUAUCAAUUAUUUCUCAAAAAUUAUGAUAUUUCGAACUGGGUAAUUGGUUUUAAGAUCAGAUUAAUGUUUUUACAUAAUCAAUUUGCACAUAUUAUAUACGGCCAUUCUCUCAGAAAUAUUUUUUUAAAAGUUUUUGUCACAAUAACCUCCUCCUUAGUUUGAAUUUUUCAGAUUUUGAAUAGAUUCUAAAUGGACUGAAUUUUAAUAUGGUUCGAUUUUGUUUUUGGCUGCUUCGGUUUUGGAUUGAAUACUAUUGUGCAUAAUUAAGUAAUAUAGUAGAUUAGAAUUUAUUGUAAAAGUCUGUUUAUAUUUUUAACUAAAAAUUAUUGAUAUCAUAAAAUUCCGGUUUGGAAUUAUAUUAGUAAACUUAGGUUGAUUUGACUAUAUAGCACACCCGUAAUAUAUAAGAACUCCAUUAUGGGGGUGAUUGGUAGUUGCUGUCCACAGCCCUAUUUAUUUUUACAGCACCAAAUUCAAAGCAAUCAAGCUUUAAAUUUUUUUUUGAAACCACAGCUCUUAAAAUAACCAACAGCUGUACAAUUACUCUGUAGAGCCAAAUAUCCAAAGCAAUUUUUUAGUGCUUUCCAUAAAAUUCUACAGCAAUAAAAUCUAAAGCCAAAGCAAAAAAAUCUGAAUUUUUUUCCACAGCAAAAUUUUUAAAGCUACAGCCAUUACCAAUCAGACCCUAUAUUAGUAAGUAUUUGAAAUUGUAGGAGCAGGUGACACCUCUACAAAAACAAUACAGUGGACAAUGGCUGAAAUUAUCAACAACCCUAAGAUCCUUGGGAGACUGAGAGAAGAAAUUGAUUCAGUAGUAGGGAAGACAAGAUUGGUCCAAGAAACUGAUCUACCAAGGGAAUUUGAGCAAGGGUGUAAGGUAGGAGGGUUCUACAUACCGGAGGGCACGUCUCUUUUAAUUAAUGUUUAUGCUGUGAUGAGAGAUCCUGAUGAGUUUAGACCAGAGAGGUUUCUAAGGGAAGAAAAAGAGAGAAGAUAUUGAUUUUUGGUGCUGGAAGGAGAGGAUGUCCUGGAUCAAAUCUUGCUUAUAUAUUAGUAGGAGUCGCCAUUGGAGUGAUGGUGCAAUGUUUUGAUUGGGUAAUCGAAGGAGAGAAAGUCAACAUGGAAGAGGCUUCUGGAAAAGCUUUCUUGUCUUUGGCUCAUGCUGUUAACUGCAUUCCUCUUCCUCGUUUCCCAUAUCCUUUAAUUUCCACUUUGUAGAUUAUCAAUUUGUGAAUUCGAGUUUCACUAUAUUUCCAAACAUAUCUAUUGCACUUGGUUUUGUUUUAUCAAUAACAUACAUUAUGGUAUUAUCAGCACACUAGCACAUACCACUAGUUGACUAGUAUAUCAACAUACUUUCAUUUAGUUUGGUGAGAACGUGAAUGGAUUUGGACGAAUAUAAAAGUGAAGUUAAUAGCUUUUAACUUCUUUUCUUGCAAGAAAAUUUAUAUCUAGUAACUUGCUAUUGUUCUUUAUUAAAAAUAAUAAUAUUUCAUUAUACAAAGACACAAAAAGCAUAAUGAAUUUAAUUAGUAAAGUUACAAAUAACUCCGCUAGGCUCCAAUGUCUUAGCUUCCGGCGCAGGCUUCACGUCCUUGGAUGGAGGAACCGGAGUCCCGGUGAGCUCCGCCGGCAAAUCACCAGCAAGACCCUUGAGGUAAAAAGUGUAUAACAGUUUUGUCGGAUACACAAGCUGUUGAAGCUUGACCUGUCCGUAAGCACCUUCGAAUAUUCCAGUGCCACCGGUGAUGGCGAGGAACGAGUCCUCGUACGUCAGGUACGGUCCUUGGACGGAUAAGUGACCGUAGUCGCCGAAGUAGAAGCUGUAAGUGGCUUCGAACCGUUCACCUUUCUUCUCCGGGACGUGUGCGAUCACGACGCAAAGACCGGCGGUGAUUCCCACGCGCUUCUUGAGGUCGCCAGUGUAGAGUUUGUUGGUGAAUGGGACGAGAUCGCCGAGACCGAACGUUAGGCUAGCGGCGUUUUUCAGGAUUUUUGGGCUGUGUCGGUCUAGUUCGUUGAGCUCGUACACGCUCAGUUCUUGAAUUCUACCUGAAUUUUCAAGAACAAAGAAAAUAAAAAAACGAAAACUCAAUUUGUGAAUUUUGAGAUCAUGCUUAAAAAUAUAUGAAAUGUCCUCAAAAGACAAAAAAAAGGGAUCAAUGAACUUACUUGGUCUGGAGUUUUCGAUAUGUCCGUUCUGGGAGAGAGCUCGGGACAGAGUGAGGUUCUCGGGAGUGGAAGUUGAACGAGAGGAGAAACCCGAACCGUUGGAUGAGAUCCCAAGAGUCUUGAAGUGUUUAGAGAAACCGAGAAGAGAGUUACGAUGAGAUUGGUGGUUACAGGAGAGAUUGUUGAGAGUUGUCGUGGAGAUGGAUUGGAGAGACAUCGCAUAAGAAGCCAUUUGAUCAAAGAGACUUUAAGACGCUGUGUUUUGGUUGAAAAGCUAUGGUUUAUGUUUUAGUGUGUUUGAGUUCUACGAAUGUCAAUGGUGUGUGCAUAUAUAUACAUAUUUCGAUGAUGAAUUAUUGUGAUAAGUUAAACGUUCGUAUAAAGUGAUUUCCAUGGUCGGCACGUGUGUGUGUGUGUGAAUUUGAAUUGUUGGGACAGAUUGAAGAAUUUGCAUUUGGUUUUGGUCGGCACGUGGAAAUGGUUGGUCCAUGUGUUUGGUUGGAACUUGGAUGACUUAUGGUCGGUCCCUGAACCACAUAAAUAAAAAUACAAAAACGUGCGAUCCGUGAAGCUUAGAAUGCAUGAGUCUACUAACUACGUUCUUGGGCCAGAUGUAAAGAAACCAAGACAUUUGAUUUAAAUGCUUAGAGAAAUAGCUUAAAUAACUAUUUAUUAGAAAUGGUUUCCUCUUUGGAAGGUUUGGACGGAUAAUGAAACAAAUAGAUAGGUCAGAAUAAUUGUGGUUAAUACGAAACAAAUGGAUUGGACGGAUCAUCAAACAGUGCAGAAUAAACGGAUUGGACGAAUUGUACCAUCAAUAAACAAAAUAAAAAAUAUGAAUGGAACUUAUGAUAAUAAGAGUUUGUUACAUACCUGUAUAGUUUAGUAACUAUUAAACUUGGACUAAUAUUUUCUAGUAUUAUUUUAUCACUUGAUAAAAAUUUAACAAAAUGAGAAUUACAUUUUUAAAUUACAUACUUUGGAUCAAAAAUAGCUCACAAAACAUGAGACCCAAAAAAAACACAACGCACAUGAGGAACAUAUGGUUUAUCCCCUCUCCUCCGCACCGUACUUAUUCUGGUACAUCUCUCAAAGCCAAUGAUUAUGUAUAGCCUGUUCUUUUAGUUUAUUAUUUAUUGACCAUAAAAGUCCACUUUAUAACACAUGCUACUAGGUCUUUUCUGCACAAUGACACUGAUGUAAGAGCAUGAGCAUUGGUGAACCCCAAAGUGGGGUUCACCAACAUUUUUUAUUAUUUUUUCGUGGGCCCAUGAACAGUUAUGAACUUGGAUAUGCUGUUUUCUGCAUUAGUGAACCCGAUGAAAGAGUUCAUAGGAAUAAAAUAAUAAUAUUAAUUUUUUUAAAAAAAAUUUAAAAUAUUCAGAAAAGAUGAAUAAAAUAUUAAAACAUAUUAUUAAAAUUAUGAAAACAUUUUAUUCAAUACAUUAAAAGUACAUUACAUAAAAGAGAAAUUUUUCUAACAUACAUAACUUAUUUAUUCAUCUUCAUCACCGAACUUUUGCCAUAUAUUUUCCAUCAAAUCAGCUUUCAAACGAGCAUGCUUCUCUGGAUCUCGAACUUCUCUGCGCAUGCCUAACAUAUCACCGACAUGAAUGCUUUCUCUCCUUGUCACCCUCGAAGUUCUGCUUGAUUCUCCGGACUCGAACUCAGAAGUAUCAAUUUGAGCGUAUCCGUGUCGUUCGUUCUCUACUAUCAUAUUGUGCAAUAUGACACAAGUUCUCAUGAUCUUUCCUAUCUUCUCCUUGUCCCAUUGGAGAGCUGGGUUUUUAACAAUUGCAAACCUCGAUUGCAAUACUCCAAAAGCCCGUUCGACAUCUUUUCUGGCGGAUUCUUGCUUUUCUGCAAAUUUCUCGGCUUUAGGACCUUGAGGAAGUGGGAUGGAUUGGAUAAAUGUUGACCAGUUUGGAUAAAUUCCGUCAGUAAGAUAGUAGGCCAUACGAUAAGUGUGGUUGUUGACCUUGAACUUAACUUUUGGUGCUCGACCAUGUAAGAUGUCAUCAAAAACAGGGGACCGAUCAAGAACAUUGAUAUCGUUGAGGGUACCUGGUAAGCCGAAAAAUGCGUGCCAUAUCCAAAGAUCUUGUGAUGCCACGGCUUCUAAGACAAUUGUCGGCUUUCCUGAACCACGUGUGAACUGACCUUUCCAAGCCGUUGGGCAGUUUUUCCACUCCCAAUGCAUGCAGUCGAUGCUGCCUAUCAUCCCCGGAAACCCCCGUACCUCUCCAACAUCGAGUAAGCGUUGAAGAUCUUCGGCUGUAGGUUUUCGUAGAUACUCAUUUCCAAACAAUUCUAUUAUUGCAUCCGUGAAAUUUGCCAAACACAAACGUGAUGUACUGUCACCGAGUCGAGAUAUUCGUCAUAUGUAUCUCCCGAUUGACCAUAUGCCAGCAUACGUAUAGCUGCCGUACACUUUUGAAGUGCAGAUAGCCCGUUCCUCCCGUGAGCAUUUCGUCUUUGCUGAAAGUAUGGAACUUCAUUACUUAUACGUUCGACAAUGCGAAGGAACAAUGGCUUGUUCAUUCGAAAACGCCUCCUAAACAUUUCCGGUGGGUAUGUAGGAUUUUCUUUGAAAUAAUCGUUCCAUAGUUGAUUGUGUCCUUGUUCCCGAUCUCUGUCGAUAUAAGCACGUCUUUUUGGCUUCUUACCUUGGACCUCAACUAUUGAGUCGAUGUAAUUAUCAACUACUUCGUCGACCAUUUCUUCUAUAGCUUCAUCAACUUCAUCACUUGAUGAGGAUGACAUUGUUGAUGUUUUCUUCCUAACAUGACAAAAGGGGAUUUGUAAUUUAAUAUUUUAUUUUAAGAAUCCUAUUUUAUUUUAACUAAAAAUCUUUCUAAUUAUCAUAAACCAUUUUUUUAAGAAUCCAAUUUUUAACUUCAAUCCUAUUUUAUUUUAACUAAAAUUCUUUCUAAUUUUCAUAAACCAUUUUUUUUUUAAGAAUCCUAUUUUUGUACUUCAAUCAUAUUAUAUUUUAACUAAAAAUCUUUAUAAUUUUCUACAACCAUAUUUUUUUAAGCAUCCAAUUUUUAACUUCAAUCAUAUUAUAUUUUAACUAAAAUUCUUUCUAAUUUUCAUAAACCAUUUUUUUAAAGAAUCCAAUUUUUUCUUCAUCCAUAUUUUAUUCUACAACCAUAUUUUCUUACCAAUCUUGAAGGUAGUUGCUCUUGUUUGUUGUUGAAGGUAGUUGCUCUUGUAUGUGUGUUUGUUGGUCACGGACUUCACUCCUUGGUUAGCCAUGCGAACUGGUGAUUGCUUCCAUUGCCACAAGCCAGGUCAUUGGCCUUUACGUUGUAGUUUGUUGUAGGUUUUUGUUGUUUGAAUUUAGUUGUUGUAGUUUGUUGUAUGUUGUACAUCCGUGAGCAAGAGAAGAAAUAGAAGAUCACUUUGAAAUAAACAAGACAAACAAGAGCAACACACAGAAGAGAAACAAUAGCAAGAGAAGAAAUAGAAGAUCACUUUGAUUAAAAAGCAGAGAGUAGAGACAUCAUUUAAAUAGAGAGACAUAGAGUUACAACAUAGUACAUCCGUGAAUCAAGUUCAGUACAUCCGUGAACCAAGUUCAGAGUUACAACAAUAGCAAAAUACAUAGACAUAGUACAUGAUUGACCUGCAGUGUAGAAAGAAACAUAACCCGUGACCUGCAACAACCUAAACUUCCAACCCGUGACCUGCAACACUGUCACCUCCAACCCGUGACCUGCAGAAGAAAAGCUAACAUAAUCAGUAAAGCAAAGCAAGGAAAUACACAUCAACUACUCAAGCAAAGCAAGAAAAUACACACAAUAGACAUCAAAGCAUUUCAGAGAUGAGUUUAUUCUUGAGAGCCACUUCAUUAUCAGAAAGUGUGUCUAUGUUUUUGGCUAGCAAACGAUCAAGGAUCUUUUGUCUGGAAAUGGUAUUUUUCUCAGCUAGGAUGGUAUGUAUAUGAUCAUAAGCUGCUUCAUUUGGCUUCUUGCGUUUAGCAGCUUUGCUAGCCUUAACACCAGGAGGCCUAACCUCUUCCUCCUCACGCACCGCCUCCGCACCACCUUCCUUCCUUUUCUCCUUCGGCUGAGAGUGUGACCUCCACUUCUGAUCAAACCGGAGUUCCCUCCAGCAAUGUUCAAGCGCAAACUUGAGAUGGUAGUCAUUGAAAUAGAUGUCAUGCGCAGUCUUCAUGACAUCAUUUUCACUUUGCCCACUCGAUUGCUCCUUCAGAGCCGUUUCAUGGGAACCCACAAACCUGCAGACCUCUGCAUUCACCCUUCCCCACCUCUGCUUACAUUGACCCCACUCUCGAGGAAGGGAGCCAAUGAGCUGAGGACUAGAAUUGAAAUACGCCUCAAUUCUCUUCCAAAAAGUCCCUAACUUCUGUUCAUUACUAACUAUCGGAUCUUUGCUGGUGUUUAACCAAGCACUGAUCAGUACAAGGUCUUCUUUGGUUGUCCACUUUCUCCUUUCCGGUGGUUUAACUAACCCGGGUGAGUUAACUGCAGCCUCAGCAGAGUCAACGUCUAUUGGACUACUGCUCUGCGAAGCUAAUAGGUUAACAAACCCGGGACCGUGAAGGGAAAAAGGUUCCAUGUUUGAGGGUUUUGUGUUCUGGUUUUGGUUUGAGGGUUACCGGUUUUUGUUUUGGUUUUGUGUUAAGAUGUAUCUGUAAAUUUUUAGGCUGGAGUUACUAUGUUUUUAAACAAGUUUUUACGUGUGGAAAGAGAUAAAAUUUAACUAACAAUACCAACCAAAAUUCAUUACAGAACUACUACAUAGUAAUGAGCAGUCAAUAGACAUCAAAUCAGGCGAAAAUACAGGGUAUUUUCCGUUUCAAAAGAGAGAAAAUUAAACUAUCUCUACCAACCUAAGUACAAUUCAACAUUAAUCACAGCAACCAACCAACCAACAAUUAAUAUCUACUUGUACUUCUAGUUCUCGUACUAGUUUAGUUUAUGUCUACUUCUAGUUCUACAAAUAGUUAUACUUUUGUUCUACUUCUACUCCUACGUCUACUUCAAUCCACAGAUAACAAUUACCCUAGAUAUAGUUUAGCUGACUCUAACCUUUCAUUGUCAAUCGAAGCAGACCUUCUCGAGGGAAUGGACCUGCACAGUGAGGUCAUAGACAGCCUCAUUGAGUGAAUUAACCUGUUCCUGGACAUGGCAAAAGUGUAGGAGAUUUGUGUUAGUAACUGUAAUACAAAUACAAGGAAAAAAAUUAAAAGCGAUGAAAGAGCUCAAAAUGUUUUACUAACCUCAAGUCUCUCAAACCGUUUACUAAGAGUGGACACCCCCAGCAUCACCUCCUCAGCCUCUUCCACCCGUUUAGUUAGCCUCUCGAGCUCCUCCUGCACACCUAUCACCCAAGGCUGACGAUAAUGGAGCCCAUCAGCCUUGGUUUUAACAUCAAGAAUCAUCAGAUAUACAACUUACAAUAUAGAACAUAAAGAUUGAUGAGAUUAUGAUAAACAGAGGAGACUUUACCUCGUAGUUUCUGCAGGUGAAGAACCGCUUCCCAGGAAGAGUGUCGUAGUCCUCCUCCCCGCGCACCUCGUUUAUGAGUCUCCCACCACACGGACACCUUUUAGGAAUACCGUACUCAGAAUCCGCCACGAAACUUAACAUGUUGAUGUGUUCAUGUUGCUUCUUUGAAUGUCUUCUAUCUUCUUCCGGAUCCAUCUGUCAAAUAAAUCAAGAUUUUGUUAAAUAAUUACUCGUAAACCACUAUCACGAUCUGCAACCAUAAACCUAUCACUCCAUUUAACCCAUAAAACGAAACCAAUCACUCAAUUUAUAAACCCAUCACUCACCCAUAAAACGAAACCGUAAUUGGAUUUCAAAUCUCUGCAAAAAUAACCCAAAAACAAAAAACAAUCACGAUCUACAACCCUUGAUCGAAACCCAUAUGACGAUUUAGAUCCCUAACUCGAAACCCCCAAAAAAUUUACAAAAUCGAAUAAUUGCUUCCCACCCCAAAAUCGACCCAAUAAAGCUAUAAACCUACAAGGAACUCACCUACGCUGGUGGAGAGAAGAGGACGUCGUCGAUUACGUCGAGAAAAACGCCGGGAAUCGUCGUCGCACGAUAAGUCGCCUCUCACGGUGAAACCCUAGUUUUUCAGAGAAAGGGGAAAAUGAGAAGAAACAAGACGUGGCCCGACUUUCCUCCUCGUCAACGCGGAACGCUUGACCAACCAGCGUACGCCGCGUGGCAACAUCCGCCCCUUACGGGUUCAUGCGCAAGGCCCGUUUCAUCAAACUUAUCGAAUUUUUUUUUUUUUUUAAACCAACGGGCCUAAGAUUUCGAGCCCACGAACCUCUCUUAAACCGCUAAUGCGGAUGGUCUAACAACCGCAAUGUGCCCACGAUUCAUAUGAUUGAAAAGAUGAAGUCGUAGUACACCAAAAAACAAUCUAAGAAGGUCUUGAAUGGUUAAUUUAACUAAUGCUACACUUCCUAACACAGAGAAAUGAAACGUCAAUGAUUUAGUUCUUGAACAUUGUGUAUAUAGUUCAUGAUGUGGUAAGAAUUUCUGCACCAGAUUCGGUGAUUAGAAUCGUAUGUUCAAACUGUGCAGCCGGACCACCAUCUGCUGUCAGAAUUGUCCAUUUGUCCGGCCAUGUUACAAACUCUGUGGUUCCAAUGGUGAGAAUUGGUUCUGCAAACAAAGGAAACAAUCAAUUCAUUAAAAGAAUACAUAAUGCAUUCAUUCAAGUUCCAUAAGAGAAAGAUCAAUCACCAAGCGUAAACGUUUGGCCUUCAAUCAUAUAGCCAAUUUCAAAAUCAUCUGCAGAAAAAAAAAAGACAGUUUCUUCAGUGAAACUCCACCGUUAAGAAGACUUCUUGAAGAAGCCUUGCGGUGUUACUUACAGUUUUUGUGGAGAUAUAUAAGAGGCUCCGAAUGUAAUACAGUUCCUACACCAUGCCCUAUAAAGCGCUCCAUGUUAUAGCCAUGCUUUUCAGCAGCAUGCUCACUGUUGAAAACUGGAAGAUCACUGAAACUGCGUAUUGAAACAUGGAUAGUACCUACUAUUAAACUACCUGAUGAUCUUCCCAAUUUCGUUGAAGCUUGCUCCAUCUCUACAAACCGAUAUACCCUUCUCCAAGCAUUCUUCUGUGACUUUCACAAGUUGUAUAAGACUCUCAUCGACAUCUCCACAGAGGAAAGUCUUAGACGUAUCUCCAUGAUAUCCCUGAUUAAAAAAAGAGUUACACACACAAGGAUAAACUUGAAUGAAUAUUAGCCAAAGAAAAGAAGCAUGAAGACUUACAUCCAAGUAGACUGCCACAUCUAUGUUUAUAAUAUCACCAUCCUAAAAAUUAAACAAGGGUUUAAUUAUUGAUUAUAUUGAUUCAUUCUUACAGAAGCAGUUUCAUACUCCAAACCUGUAGCUGACGAGAGUCUGGGACGCCAUGAAACAUGCAUUCAUUCACUGAUGUACAAACACUCUUUGGAAAUCCACCGUAACCAAGAGGUGAAGGGUAAGCACCAGACUCAAUUACCAUCUUGUGCACUGCUUUGUCGAUUUCAUCUGUUGUAACAAAUGGCUGCAAGCAUCAUUUUUAUAAGCAUAGCCAGAGAGACCCACAAGAGAAAACGCUAAUCUUUACUUACUUUAACUAAAGUUCCUGCGUAGUUUAACACACGAGCAGCGAGCUCGCACGCUGCUUUCAUUUUAACGAUGCCGUUGGAGUCAGGAAACUGAUGUUCACUUGAUAUCUUUGGUGGCUCGCUAGAUUCAAGAUAUGGAGCUUUUGGUAUGUGAUCAGGAACAUGAAGACGAGGGGAGACUCUUCCACAUACUAGAGGUGCGUUUCUUUUGACUUGCAAUGUGUUUUGAAGUUCUUGAAUUCUUGAAAACACACAUCAAAAUUGAAAUAUAAAUGUAGAGAAAAAAUAUAUUAUUAUCAUUAUUUUAAGUUUAUAAACCAAUGUUUUCGUACAUUAAAAUAAAUAAUAAUAAUGAAUACCUGCUUAUUCUAGGAGAGAAUGAUGACUUCUUCUUCUUGACUGCAACAAAAGAAGAAGAAACAUCAAACUUAAUUACACAUAAUUCAAUUUUCUCGAAACAAACAAAAAAAAGUGGAGAGCAACAGUAACGGCAAACCUGACAGCAGGAGAGAGGAUAAGUUGGCAGGAGCUCCGGCGAAGUAUAUCGGCGGCGUUAACUGACCGCCGUUAAAUAAAGAAUGGGAUUGAGAAAUUCCGAACGACAUUUUCGCUGGCACAUUCUAAAAAAAAAACAAAAAGGUAUAAAUUAUAACUUUGAGAGACGAUUUUAAUGGGCCUUAAACAAAAAGGCCCAUUUUAGUUACGAAAUAGACCCACACACAGAAAUACUCAUCAUCAGAUGACUAUAGAUGAUUUGAUAUCAAAAUGUCAGACAUUUCAGAACUAUUGGGAUUCAUUUGAAAGUUGAACAAAAAAAAUGCUACCCACGCAUAUAAUUCAUAGGAGUAUUAGAAUAAAAUUAAAUAUACAAAAAGAAUAUAAUGAUCCACUAAUAAUAAACUAAUUCAUGUUUUCUAUUGUGUAUUUUCUGUUUCAUAUCUACUUGUAAAAAUUGUUUUUCACGUGUUUAAACUUUUUUGCUGGAAAAGUUUCUACCAACUUUAACUUUGUUUUACAACUUAAAUAAUAAAUCAUGUCGACAACAAGUAGUUAAGAAAAAAAUUUUAAAAACGUUUUUUUCCCAGGAAAUUACAGAAAAACAAACCAAAGAGAAAGAGUUAAAUUGUAGUUACAAGGCGUUGCUUUUUAUUACACCUUAAAGACAGCAUCUCCGUUUCUUCCUUCAUUACGACAUCACUUUGAGACUUCAAAGAAGUAAUGUCAACGCCGAAUAAUCUCACGACCACCCGACCCGUAUCUUGAUCCGACUCGGAUUUCGAUUUCCACCCAAUAUACAACUGUUGAUCCUGACCGUUGGAUCUUUUAAAACUGAUCAAAUCACCGGCACACAAUCUCUUCUCUUUAACGAACCUGCUCCAACCUUUAGUCAACACAUAGCUUUGACUACUAUUCCAAUACGAGUAACGGAACCUCCACACUUUUCCGUUAACGUCCUCGAAAUUUAACAGCGUCCCUCUCACGGAGACGUCUCCUGAUAACGGUAACGGAAAAUGUUUCUCCGCUUGGUGUUUCGGUAUCACUAAACGGUUUAGCUUCCCGACGUCACUUGGCGUUACCGCUUUCUCAAACAGAGUCUCCGCCGUUUUAAACCCCGUCGCUACCCUAACGGCAGCAAACGCCGUCUCUUUCGUGUUUCCCUUACCGUGUAGGUUACGUUUCCUCUGCUCUAACUCCUCUUUGUAUGUAUGUUUUCUCAACAUGUCAACGAUCUCAGCUUUCGAAUGUGCGUUCAAGAACUCGACUUCGUCUCCGUUACCUAACGUCGUGUCGGCCUUGAAGUUCGUGACGGCGUCACGGCCGCGGAAACGGUGAGCUGCGACGUCGUAAGCACGAGCAGCUUCUUCUUCUUCGUUGAAAGUGCCGAGCCAGACUCGCUGGUGCUUCUCGUAAAUCUGAGCUCCCCAUCUUCCGUUCGGCUGAGGGACAACGCCUUUGAAUCUUGACGACGGGAGCUUUCUUGAUUCGGCUUCGACGCCGUUCUCAGAAUCCAGAACCACGCUUGAUCCGCUUCCCAUUCUGUAUAGACUCGCCGGAGAUGGCGACUUUCUUGCCGUCGCCGGAGGAAUCUUUGCCGGAGUAUGAACCGAAUCUGUACUUGUUGAGCUCUCGUCAACACUACUUGCUGCGUCCAUUUGUUUUCUUUCUUUUAAAAUUUGAUUAAGAAAUGUAAAAAUCCACAAGAAUAUUGUGAAAUUUGAGAAUGGAGAGAGAUUAAUAACACGCGUAUGAAACUGAAAUGUAUGUGCGAAUGAGUGUGAAUAUAACGUGUAUAUAUAGAGAGACAAGAGGGAAAUAAGAAAACAUCAAGUGCAUGUAUGUAUUAAUAUUCUUUUCUUUUUUAAAGAUUUAUGUAUUAACAUUCUAAAUUUUAUUUUCUUUCCUUUUAUUAGUUGUAGUAUGUUUUAACUAGGGCUAGGCAAAUAAACCGAACCUGAUAAUCCGAACCGAAUCCGGUCCGAUAAAAAUGAAUCCGAACCGAUCCAAACCCGACGUAAAUACUGAAUGGAUCUUGUUUUGUGGUAUUUUGGGUUAUGGGUAUUAUCCGAACCGAACCCGAAUCUAAAUGGAUAUCCGAUAGAAUCCAAAACAUUCAAAACCUCGAAAAUAAUUUGUACCAAACAUGAUCUCAAUUCCUAAUAUGUAUCUAAAAUACACUAAGAAAUAUUGAACAUCUAAAAUACUUAUCUAUUACAUGAAGGUUGAUGGUUCUAUUACAUAAAUAUUGGUGGUUCUAUUACAUGAAGGUUGAUGGUUGAAGAUGGCCGUUGAAUCUUGAAGUAUUUAGAUUUAGAUUUUGUUUUCGUUAAACAAUGUUUCUCAUUUCAUGAGAAUUUAGUUUUCAUUUUAUGCUUUUAUUUAUUUGGUUUUCUUUUUAUCAGUAAAUAUUUUUACUUUUCGUUUGAUUUUGAAUGAUCAUGGUUGAUGUUUCUUAUUUUUGAAUCGAUUUUACUUAAGUUUUGGUUACAAAAUAGGUACAAAUCAGGUAUUUUAAAACUGAAGAACCAUUUUUACUCAUGUUUUGGUUAUAAAAUAGGUAAAAAUCAGGUACUUUUAAACCAAAAAACCGAUUGGGAUCCGAACCCGAAAGUAUAUUGGGUUGUGCCGGUUCUUUGAAGAUUUACUAACCCCGACCCGAACCCGAUAGAACCCGAACCGGUCCCGAAUCGAACUUUUAUAUAAUCCGAAUGGGACUGAUUUUGAUAAAUCCGAAAAACCGAAAUCCGAUUGGGACCCCAAAUGCUCAGGCCUAGUUUUAACUUUUAAGGAGAUAAGUAUGUUCCAAAAAAAAUUCACAUUUUCAGAACUGGUUUUGCUAGAUGACGCAUGAAAUCUUAAGACAACUUAAUAAUCGUCUAUUAGUUUGAAAAUAUAUAUUUUAGCGUUAUAUAAUUAUUCAGCAUAACCUUGUUGCCAAUGAAAAACUGUUUCACUAUUUAAUUGCUAUGCUAUUUUUGCAUUCCAUAUUUUCUUUGACGUAACAAUAUCUCCAAGGUUUGCUAUGUCAGAUUUGCUUUUUCAAUCUCGCAAUUAAGCUAAUCCCCAAAUUUUGGAUAUCCUAAGUUGGCUAUCAAUUUUCAAAACUACACUAAAUCAAAAAUAUUCUAACAUUAGGUUUAGGAUAUACUGAUUAUUGUAAAGUAUUUUAGUAUUUAGAAGGUGAGAAUUAAGUUUAUAAACUUGCAUAAAUAUUUCAUUAAAUAAUUUUAAAUAUCGAUAAGAGUUAUUUUAAUUCUUAAUUACAAUAUUUGUGAAAAUAUGGUUAUUUUUGAAGAAUAAAUUCUAAAAACGUUCAAAUUUACCCCACCUUCGAAUAAAUAUCCUAGAGAAAGGAGAGUGUUUUUUUUUUCUAUAUUGUCUCCCUCUCCCCCCACUCAUCCUUAACCUAGCCUUGCUCUCUCCGUUUCUGGCGGUUAAGACCAUGUUUAUUGGGGUAGCUUAGGUGGGGUGCUUAGGGGAUUGGCUUAGAAAAAAAUAAUUAAAUAGUCGGUGGGACCCAUAGUGGGGCCCACAAAAAAUUAACAACCAUUGCUUCAGUUGUCUGAUUAAGCGUCGUUGUUUACCCUGUUUCGCAAGCUCCACUGACACGUGGAAAUCCGCGAUUGGUCAAGUCUUUAAUUUUUUUUUAAGUUUAGUCAGGAAAAAAAAAUUUAAGCACCCUAAAAGGUUACUGCCAAUAAACAUGCUCUAACGGGGUCUUUCUAACCAUCAACCUCCCACCCUUUCAUCCGCUUCAUCCGCUUCAUCAGCUUUAGUUUCUCCCAUGUCCCCUAUGUUUCCGAGGGGAGUAUGUGAGGUAGUGUGUAGCAGAUCAAGCACAUGGUCCAUGUUCUCUCUAUAUGUUCUGAAACGCCAAUAUCGGAUAAGGGUCACAUAUGUCUUUCAAAAGUGUGGAAUGGUAGAUCUAGAGCGUCGCUGCCUCUCCUCUGCUCCAACUCCGCCUUUUUUUUUCUGUUGCCCUCACUUCUCGUAGAUUAAAGGUUUUCUAGAGCCGCUCCUCGGAGACUCCAUCUUUCAGUGUGUGGCGGAGCUGAGACACUCCGCUGAGGGCCUCUGUCAUUAUCAAGCUCUCCUAAAACUUUUCAAGAUGUUUCAUCAGUCGUCGGCUGCCUUCUCUGCCUUUAUUUGGUGUGUGGGGGGUUUGGGGGCUUUACUAGUGAGUGGCAGAAUUUAGCCGCAAACUUACUGCCUGCUUCGCCGGAAAAUUUCAUGUGUUUAUUUGGUCUGGGGUAUAAGUUUGGGAUCAGACCUAAAGACUUUUUAACUUGUGCUCUCUGGAUCUUGAUUUGUUUGGAGUAAACUCACUGAUGCCAAUGGUCAGGACGGAGUAGUCAACCACCUCUUUAUUUACGGGUCCAUCUCUGAUGUUAUCCUGGUGAGGAUUUGAAUUCCUAGUUCUAGCUUUGUUUUUCUAGAACUUGUUAGACUUUGUUAAGUUUGUAAGUGUGUUUUACUUACAAGGCAGAAUGGGAUCCAAGGUAAAACUUGCACCAAUUGUUUAUUUUCAUAAAUGAUAUUUAUAUUCUUAACAACAAAAAAAAAAAAUUGAAAGAUGUUAGCAAAAAAAAUAUAUGAAUAUGUUGUGGGCUGCAUGGGAAAUGGGACCAACAAGUGGGCUCCGGAUGGUUAAAAGAGGUUCACAUGAGAAAUUGAAUAUUGCGUUAGUAAAGUUCAUUCCCCCUGGUGAUUUUGAUAUGCUUAUUUACAAGUUCGGUGUUCAAAAGAAAUAACUUAUUAUAAUCAUAUAACUAGUAGGAUUCACUGUUACGGUUUUAUUUCUUUCUCACUGAUACUUAAAUAUGUUUCUUUUUCAAAUCUCAAUGAGUGUUACAUGCAUGGGGAAUCUUUUGCAAGCAUGAAUCAUCCAUGUAUAUAAAUGCGAUGGGCAAUGCUUAUGUUUAUUCCAUUCUUCGUAUAUUUCUUAAGCAUCUUUGUUCCGUUUUAUUUUCUUCUACUAGUAUGGGGGAGCAUGCGUAUGAUGUGUGUAAAUGGAUGGGAACGUAAUAUAAAAAAUGGCAGAGUAAUAAAGUGAGCGAAGUGAGAUUUGUGAGUUGUGAUUACUUAUAUUUAUGGCAUGGGGAAUUAACAUUUUCGACGAACAGAAAACCGACACGUGGACUGAAAAAUAGGCUGUCACGUAGUUAGUUUGGACUCACUCCUAUAUAAUUAAAAAAACAUGAAUACAAUUAGAUAUGGUUUAUGUUUUUUGUAAGCUAUAACCUGAUUUCUGCCCGUAUGAUUAGUUUAUAUGAAAUAAAUUGUUGUAAUUGUCAACUUAAAAAUUUAAGCUGCUUAUAUUAUUUAACUAGCGAUUUGAUUGGUUCAAACAUAGUCUUCAAACAUUUUUUUUUUGCAAACUGAAACAGAGCAUUCUUCGUACGCUGGUUCAUUACAAACACAAGAGAUAAAUUUAAAGGAGAUAUAGGUGAAGGAGCUUCUCAACACGCUAAUAUCAUGGAGAAUUCUUCGGAAUGCGAUCACAAACUUGUUUCAUGUAAUCGUAUCAAUGAGACAUCUAGAAUCUGAACAACAGAUUAUGUCUUUGAGACCAGCAGAGACGGCCUUCGACAAGCCUUUUUUCAUCGCUAACACUUCUGCUACUAGAGCUGAAGCUAUAUAGCGCCGAGCAUCGGUUCCUUGGAAUCUUUCAUUUCCUGCUGAGUAUGUACAAACCCAACUCAGACCACCUGCAGAAGAAGUUCCAUUCCAAGCAGCAUCAGAGUAAACAAAGCUCACUUUCGUUGGAGCCUGAGGUAGAGUGUUCUGAUUGGUUUUGUUGAUAUCACCUGUUUGUGGAUGGUAAGAAUUAUUAGUAUGCUUCGUAUCGCUUCGUACCACUAUAAAUUAAAAGCUUAUUCUAGCUAGUGUUUACAAACAUUUACGUAAUGAUUGAGUUAAAACAAUUGAUAAAAGAAAAUUCUUUGUUUAUAACUUUUAAUUUAAUUUUUAAUCUCUAUAAUAUUAUUUGAAAAAUCAGUUUGUUAUGUAGUAUUAUGUUCCCAUCUUAAUUGGAUAUAUGAUUUCAUAUAUAAUAUUUUGUAUAGUUUCAAAUACUUAUUUUGUGUUAAAUUAUAUCUAUUAUUUUAAAUUAAACAAAUCAUAUUAAAACUGGACUAUUAUUUUCUUAAUUUCAUGUAGCUAAUUAAGUUCAUUUUCUUAUAUUUGUAAAUAUUUUGGUAUUUUUUGUAUAAAUGGGUAUAUAUUGUUUUAGAAAAUAGGAAACAUAAAUAUUAAAUCAGAAUUGCAUUAAUAAACAUAACUUGUAAUAUUUUGAAAAUUCAUACACCAGAUCACUACUACACACUAAAUCUUAAUAAUUGUUUGAUUUGAUUUUUCAUAAUUUAGUAUAUUGAAUUGUAUCAAUUUUCUUAUCACAAUUUGUUUUUAGUUACAAUUAAACUAAAAUAAGCUCAUCUUGUUACUUUUAUCUUAGGAUGAAAAAUAUAUUUUGUAAGAUUGUGUAUAAUUUGCUAUAUGAUGUUUUCCAUAAAAUUAAAAAAAUUGAAGUGUUAAUAAAUUUUGUUAUGAAAAUUCUAAUCAUUCAAUAUAAAAUAUAUUGAUAAAUAAGAAAUACUAUUUAUAUUGUUGUAGCCUCACGUUAUAAAAUAUUUAUUUGGUUUUAAAAUAAUCAUAAGAUAUAAUAAUUUUGGAAAAAAUAAGAUAUUAAAUAAUCAUUUAUGUUUUUCCAAAUUAUUUUCUUAUUAAUAAUUAGAUCAAAAGAUAUUUAUAAUAAAAUUAUUAUUAUUAUGUUUUAGAAAAAUAUAACUGAAUUAUUAUAUUUUUAAGUUUUUUUGAAGUUAUUUUCAUAUAUAUUUAUAAGUAUACAUUUUUAAAAGUUAUUGAAUUUUUAUUUUUGUUGUAGGAAACAUAAAGAAUAAAAAAAUCAAAUUCGCUUUUAUAUAAAUGUCUAUAUUUAUAUUUUAUAAUUUUCCUUUUUGUUAUUUAUGUGUUUUAAUAAAAAGGAAAAUUACAUUAAAAAGUUAAUCACAGUUUUAUUAAGAAAAAUGAAACAUAGAUAAUUGUUAUUAAUGGAAAUCACUAAUAAUAAAAAAAUUGAAAUCACUAACAAUAUUUUUAAUUCAUUAAAGGUUUAAGUGUAAUAAAACACCGUGAUAGUUAACGUGAGCGCCACACAUAAUAAACUGACUUCUAUUAAAUAAUCAUUUAUGUUGUUCCAAAUUAUUUUCUUAUAUUAAGAAACCGACUUCUCAAAUAAUAUUAUAGAGAUAUUUUCUUAUAUAUUCAUUCAACAAUAUCAUACUUUAUAUUAUAAGAGCGUUUAAUCAAACAUAUUUGCUAUAAAAAAAUUCAAAAUUAAUAUAUAUAUACAUAUAUAUAAUAUAAACAAAUAAUCUGAAAGAAUUAAUCUCCAUAAAAUAAGUAUUUUUAUACUAAUAAUAAUAUUUUAGUGUUUUAUAAUUAUACAAUGUGUUAGUAUUUUUAAGUUAUUACUAAAUCGUUGUAGCUAAUAAGAUAGUCGACUAGUUAUAAAUAUUAAAUGCACUCAUUUCUAAAAGUUGAACUAAUCGCACAACUACAUGCAUCCGCAAACUCAUGCAAUCAACUCUGCAACCACUCCAUUUAAGCUAGUUAGACCCUCACUUUUCAAGAGGAAUUGUGUUUUCAUUUAUAUAUUAUAAUUAGUUGACUUUCUAUUUCCAAUAAACUUGAAAGAAGGGUUAUUUAUUUUUAUCUAUUUUUUAUAGAUAGAUAGCUAGAAUUUAUAUAUUUUUCAUAACAUGUAAUACUUUGUUUAUUUCAACUGAUAUCUUUUAAAAGAUAUAUUAAAAUAUAAUUUGAAUGAUUUAUAUUUUAAUGAAUUUUUGAAAAAUUACAUAAACUAACAUUUUUUUAAUACCACUUUUUAUGUUUAUUUUAAUCAUAUUUAACUUUAGUUUUAAAGAAGAUAAAUAGACAUUUAUGCCCCUAAGAUUAACUAUUAUAGAAUUAGGGUUUGGAUUUGAGGGAGAGUCUUGAAGGGUGGAGUUUAGAAUUAAAAAAAAAAACUAAAAAUUAAAAAACUAAAAAUUUGAAUAAUAGUUUUAAAAAUAAUUUUCAAAUUUCAAAAAGAAAAAAGAAAAAUAAAAAUUAGAAAAAGAAAAAUAAUUGAAUUUUCUUUUUGAAAAAAAUAGAAAGAUAAAUAAAAAAUUAUAAAAAAGUUUGAAUUAUAAAACUUAUAAUUCUAUAAUUACUAAAAAAAUUUAUUUUUAUAUUUUUAUUAUUUAAAUAACUAUUUAUAUUUAUGUAUCUAUAAAAAAAUGAAAUAAAACUCUUUUGCUAAUUUAAUGAAGAAAUUAUUUAUUAAAAUGUUCAUUUCCGUUGCAUUUUGGUAGCGAGCUAUUUUAGAACAUUCUCUUUAUAAAUCCAAACGUGAAUACCCGGCCCAAGAGUCAAUUAAAUAUAUACUACGUGAUUAUCACAUAAAUAUUCAGAAAAUAAUCAAAUCACAAUAAUUGUUAAAUAUUCUCUUUCAUUGUUUAUAAAUUUUAAGUAAUUUUAUAAUUUAAAUUUAUGAUGAAAAAAUAAUUUUUUAUUAAAUAUCAUUAUGUUUUUAUCCGUGAAUAUAAAUAUUUACAAUACUUUAUAAAUUAUAAAUCAUUUUAAUUUAUAUUAUUAAAAAUAAUAUUAUAUUAAAUAUCAUUAUGUUUUCAUCUUAUUUAGACAUAUAAUUUCAUUUAUAAUAAUUUGGAUCAAUUCAUAUAUAGUAUGUUGAGCUUUAUAUAAACUUUUAAAUUAAACAACAUUUUUUAAUUAAAUUAAUAAUGAAUUAUUAUAUAUGUAGCUUAUUAAUUUUAGUUUGGUUCAUCCUCUUAGAGUUCUAAGUAUAUUUUAUAAAUCUUAUAAAAUUAGAAUAUAUUGCUUCGAAAAAUAGGAAACAAAAAUAUAAUGCUGUAGUUACAUUACUAAACAUAAUCUAUAAUAUAUUAAAAAGUCAUGUACAUAUAUAAAUAUUAUAAAAUAACUAAAUUCUAUUAAUUCGUUAAUAACUUGUUUAGAAUUCUGAAGAUAUUUUAUAUUUUAUAUCUAUGAAAAUUAAUUAAAUAUUUUUUAAUAAUUUUGUAUUUUUCUUAAUUAGGUAUUUGAUUGGAGAGAUAUGAUAUUAAAUGAUUUGUCUGAAAUUAUUUUUAAUUAUUCGAUAAAAAUAUAAUAAUAAUAAAAUAAAUAUUGUAAAAUAAAUUAUCUAAACUAUUUUAUGUUGUCAAAUGUUUUAAAAAUUAUGUUAUAUAUAAACCUUUAUAUUUGAAACUUUAUAAAUAUUUUUUUAUACUUUCAAAAAAUAUAAAGUAAAUUAAAAUAUUUUUAUAUAUACAAAAUUCAUAUAUUCAUAAAUAUUUCGUUUUAUUAUUCAUGUGAUUUUCUAUUAAAAAACAGUAAAUCAAAAUUCAAAAGUGAAUUUGAAAAUUUUAUUGAAACAUAAUAAAAUUGGUUUUAGCAGUGAUAAUGAGAUAUACUUUUAAUUCACAAAGAAUAUUCAUGAAACUGAUUUUUGCGAGAAUUAGGGAGUGAUUGGUAAGUGUUGUGAGUGUUUUUUAUAUCUCAUUUCUUUUCUACUUCUACUUUAAUUUACCAAGUUUUUAACAAAUAAUUUAAAGCUACAGAUCUAAACUAAAUAUGAAAUAAAUGGUUUUGAAAACUAAUUUUUCUAGAGUUUUAUAUUUAGUGCUUUGAAAGUUAUUAUAAUAAAAUCUACAGUUACAUAGUAAUAAAAUAUACAGCUACUAUUCUAAAUCAAAAAAUUAAAACUACAACAUUUGCCAAUCUCUUUUGACCGGAAGGGGAUAAGUAGGAAGCUGAAUUUUCAAAUAAUAGUAUAGAGAUGGUUUUUUUUAAUCGAUAUUAUAGAGAUGAUAUUUAUCGAUGGAAUGUGAUAAAAAGGAAAAGGAAAUCUUUAUCCACAUUAACUGUUUGGAUUAGCUUAAAUCCUUCUGAGAUUAUCUUCACUUCUUUAGUGUUAGACAUCAUAUACAUAACAACCAAUAGCUUAGUAGUUGCGACGUAAAACUUGGUCAGUUGGAUAUCAAUUAUAAAUUAGCCCCAAAAUGAACUAAAGUAGUAUGAAAUUAGGUAGGAGAUUUUUUUUUUAAAAAAACGCUCCCAGGCACUUCUCCCGAGAGACUUUUGAAAGUUGAAUUCUAACUAAGAUCCACCGUAGCUCGCACCUUCUCCGUCGGCCAGACUACUGUACACCACCGCACCUACUUUCCGGCGAAGACUUUUUUAGCACUUUCCGGCUCCCUGGAGCCAGAGCUUCUUCCUGACGUUCUCACAUCAAAGGUCCGAUGGUCCAAUUGAUGCAGAUCUGGAAAGGAGAAUGCUUAGCUAACUGCCAAGAACUUAAGGUUGUCUCCCUCCCAGGGAACAAGCUUUAAUGUGCUUGUGCAUUUACUCAACCGUAUACUGUCUACUGCAGUUUUUACCUUGUGCCUAAGGUUUACCCCUCUUUAAGAAUUUCUACCGUCUACUGCGGUUCUGUAUUUUACUCCAAGAUCCGUCUUUACUCUGUAUUCAUGACUCAACGUAUGUCACGGGUGGAAAAAGAGAAAUGGAUGGCUGACCCACCAAUGAAAUCUCGAAGACCACCAAUUAAGAUCCCCGAAGGGAAUAACAGAGCUCUGAUUGAAGAAAACCGGUUUACUCUGAUAGGCCGUGUUACAAACCCGCACAUCCAAAAGACCCGAGCUCUGGUUGACUUUUUCCUCCAACACUGGAGGGUGCAAGGAAAUUUUACUGGGAGAGCGCUAGGACCAAGUAUGUUCCAAUUCAAGUUUGAGUCGGAACACGAUCUAAAUGAAGUCCUCUCUCAAGCACCUUUCCACUUUAAGAGAUGGAUGAUGAUUCUUCAACGCUGGGAACCUAUUGUCUCUGACUUUUUUCCAGCGUUGAUCCCCUUCUGGAUCACCAUACAUGGUUUACCUCUUCACUACUGGACAAAAGAAGCACUGGAAUCUAUUGGAACCGAGCUGGGGCCGGUCGAUGGUUUUGAUGUGGACCAGGGAAGAGUUCGUGUGCUGAUAAAUGGCUUAAAACCACUUGAAAUGAUUCUAGAGGUCAGCACACCAUCAGGUGAACUAAAACAAGUGGAGCUUGAGUAUGAAGGCUUACAAAAGCACUGCUUUGUAUGCCAUUCGCUCUCACAUGAAAAGGAAGAUUGUCCUUCCCGUCACCAAACUCUCAGGAACUCCACUCCUUUUGGUAUCUCUCAAACGCGGACGAGAGAAAGGCUUGAAGCAGACAGAAGACGCCAAGCUGAGAGAAAGCAAAUACGACCAGUCUCUGAGCACCAAAUCACUGGAAACAACCCAAAGCCUUGGCCAAGGGGCUCGGAUAGAGUCUCUUCUCAUGCAACUGACUGGAGCCAGGACAAAAAUUUUAGAUUCACUUAUGGAGCAAGAAGAGACCCACUCUGUCAGACUACUCCCCAUGGAUCAAACCCCUCCCAAGAGCCACGCCAACCAGUCAAAGCAAGACUAUCUUUCUCUAGAGAUAGUGCUGUCACUCCCCGAGGUGCAUCUAAUUCUCGAGUCAAUCUGACACAAAGGAAUGAAUGGAGACCGAUUGUAAGGGAAUCGCAGAUAGAGUCUGGAUCCAGGACUGCAAACCCCCAGGUUUCAAAGUCAGUGAACUCCCACACCUCGCACACUCCAUCCCCUCGACCAGCAAGAGAAGGUGAUUCUCGUUUGAAACGAGUCACUCCUUCCACAAGUCACAGACCAGAGGAGGGAAGUGAACCAUCACACGAACGGAGGUCCGCUCUAGAACGACUCUCCUUAUCUCAUGAAAGGAUCCCGUUACUACAGGAUGGAGUUGCAAAUUCUGAGUCAGGAAGACUUCAAGAAGUCGACAUUCAGUACCUGGAGGAAACUGCACCUCGUCUGCAACCUGUAGAAAGAUCCAUACCUUCUAGUUCUCGUAACCCGAUCUCGCAGAUUCCUGAACACUACGAUCCAAGUCAGGAUAGAUCUCCGAUAAGGACACUAAGUGAAGAUAGGUUACAUGUCUCCUUGAGACUAGGGCCUCUACGAGAUACAAAUAUAGAAGAGGAAGAGGACAAUGUUCUCCCGAGGAAAGAAUCUGCCUUAAAACGUCUGGCAUCUACAAUCUCUAGAGUAGACAAAGGCAAAGGGAAAAUGCUACCUCAAACUAAGAAGCGGGUCUGUAGAAGCCCUAUUCAAGGUGUUAGUCUGAAGCGACGCAGAGUUACACGCUCGCAGAACUCACCACGAAGGAAGCUACUCCAUGAUGCCAUAAGAAGCGGUGCAACGAAUACUAGAGGAGUAGGAAGCACACAGCCACGUACUACAAUCAUACCGCCAACGAAGAAGAAGGGAACGGAUUUUCGGUCCGGUCCAAAACCUCUUCCUUAGUCUCUAUGAGCUGGAACUGUCAAGGUAUAGGGAGCGACCUGACAGUUCGUCGUCUACGGGAGUUCCGAUCCAAAAACUCCCCGGAUAUUAUGUUCCUGAUGGAAACAAAGCGACAAGAUGAAGAGAUCUACAAGAGCUACAAGGGCACUGAUUUUAAAAAUCUAUUCACAGUUCCACCAGUUGGAAUGAGCGGAGGACUUGCCCUAGCUUGGAAAGAUAAUGUUGAGAUUGAAAUCCUGUUCUCCUCGCCGAAUGUAAUCGAUACAAAAAUAGUUUUUAAUAAUAAAACUUUCUUUGUAUCGUAUAUAUAUGGGGCACCAAACAGAGAGAAUCGGCCCAAGUUUUGGGAAUUCAUGGCGGACCUUGGAGCUCAUCGGUCAUCAGCCUGGUUGAUCACUGGGGAUUUCAACGACUUAUUAGAUAACUCCGAGAAGGUGGGAGGACCCGUAAGGUGGGAAGGAUCGUUCCUAUCCUUUAGGAACUUUGUUUCACAAAAUGGCCUAUGGGAUCUCCAGUUCUCGGGGAACUCACUCUCAUGGAGAGGCACUAGGUACUCUCAUUUCAUUCAGUCGCGCCUAGAUCGUGCAAUGGCGAACUUAGAUUGGAUGGAAAUGUUCCCGACAGGCCGGAGUGAGUAUCUACGGUUUGAAGGUUCCGAUCACCGGCCACUGCUCACUCAUUUUGAUUUACAUCUGAAAAAGAAGAAAGGCAUGUUUCGGUACGACCGGAAUCUCAGCAAAAAACCGGAAAUUAGAAACUUGGUUGAAGAAGCCUGGAACCAGGACAACUCGGAAUCAGUACUCACCAAGAUAAAUCGGGUCAGGAGGAAUCUGGUUGAAUGGGCAAAACAACAGACGAAAGCCUCAAAGGAGUGGAUCUGUUCCAACCAGAACUUGUUAGAAGAAGCGCUCUCUGCUACCAACCCGAAGAAUGAACUCAUUGACUCCCUCAAACAGAUUUUGGCUAAAGCUUACGAAGAAGAAGAAUCUUUCUGGCGCCAACGCAGUCGGAUUCAAUGGCUAAAUGAAGGUGAUAAGAAUUCGGGUUUCUUCCAUGCUGUAACUAGGGGUCGGCGAGCCUGCAAUAAAUUCUCUGUGGUGGAAGACGAGGCUGGACAGGCUUUCUAUGAGGAGAGUCACAUUGUCUCUGCCUUUGUAAACUUCUAUCAGACUCUCUUCACAACAGGUUACAUGGAUGCCAGCAGUGUAGUAAACGAAGCGCUGAUACCAAAGAUUUCACCAGAGAUGAAUCAGGCUUUGAUCGCACUACCCGACAAAGAGGAAGUUCAAGCUGCAGUCUUCUCAAUUCACCCCGAUAAGGCACCAGGGCCGGAUGGUUUCUCAGCCGGGUUCUACCAAGCUUUUUGGGAUGUGAUUGGGGAUGACAUCUACCGGGAUGUUAAAAAGUUUUUUGAAACAAGACAGCUCCCUCAGCGACAAAAUGAGACACACGUUAGGCUGAUUCCCAAGAUAACGGGUGCAAAGAAAGUCUCGGACUAUAGGCCUAUAGCGUUGUGCAACACGCAGUACAAGAUAGUUGCAAAGAUUCUCUCAAAAAGACUCAAACCACUACUAAACGAUCUGAUAUCUCCGUCUCAAUCAGCGUUUGUGGCGGGCCGGUCAAUCUCCGACAAUGUGCUAAUCACACAUGAGAUGCUACACUUUCUUAGACAGUCGGGUGCGAAAAAAUAUGUCUCUAUGGCGGUUAAAACCGAUAUGAGCAAGGCCUACGACCGGAUUGAGUGGGAAUUUUUGCGUUUAGUGCUUCAGAAACUUGGUUUCCACGAGAUUUGGAUAGAAUGGGUGCUGGAGUGUGUCUCUUCGGUCUCAUAUUCGUUUCUCAUUAACGGCGGGCCGCAAGGGCGGGUCAUGCCAUCCAGAGGACUCCGACAAGGAGAUCCACUAUCUCCUUAUCUGUUUAUCCUCUGCACCGAGGUACUCUCAGGACUGUGCGAUAAAGCGCUAGCAAAUGGUAGCUUCCCGGGGAUUAAGGUCGCACGGAACUGUCCACCAAUAAACCAUCUACUGUUUGCCGACGAUACCAUGUUUUUCGGGAAAUCAAGUCCGACCAGCUGUGCCACACUUACCUUAAUCCUUCAGAAGUAUGAGAGUGCCUCAGGACAGCGUAUUAACCGAGAUAAAUCUUCCAUUACUUUCUCCUCGAAAACCACCAGCGCUGCAAAAGACAGAGUUAAGAGAGACCUAAGCAUUGGCAGUGAAGGCGGGAUUGGAAAGUACCUCGGACUCCCAGAACAUUUUGGCCGGAGGAAGCGUGAUAUCUUUGCUUCAAUUGUUGACAGGAUCCGCCAGAAAGCUCAUGGCUGGACGACGAGGUUCCUGUCACAUGCCGGGAAGGUGGUGCUUCUAAAAUCAGUUCUUGCAGCUAUGCCCACUUAUGCCAUGACGUGCUUUAAGUUACCGAAAUCUCUAUGCAAGCAAAUACAGGCUGUUCUCACAAGAUUUUGGUGGGAUUUGAAACCGGAAGUAAGGAAGUUGUGUUGGGUUUCGUGGGACAAGCUUACAAGACCAAAGAGUGCUGGAGGGCUGGGUUUCAGAGAGAUAGAAAACUUCAAUGAUGCUUUACUCGCGAAGCAUACAUGGAGGCUACUAAAAGACCCAUUUUCCCUGUUGGGACAGACUCUACUUAAUAAGUACUGUCGUGAACGAAAUCUUUUAGACUGUUAUGCUCCAAAUUCUGCUUCACAUGGCUGGAGAGGGAUUUUGGCUGGGCGUGACAUCAUCAAGAAGGGAAUGGGUUGGGUUGUGGGCAAUGGAGAUUGUAUCUCCGUGUGGCGAGAUAACUGGCUCUCAAUCGAACAUCAGAUGUGCCCCAUUGGACCGGCCGCAUGUGAGGAAGCAGACUUGAAAGUCAAAGAGCUUCUCCUCCCUGAUGGCUCAGACUGGAAUGUCGAUCAGAUUCGAAAAU